AUUGAACGCUGGCGGCAUGCCUUACACAUGCAAGUCGAACGGUAGCGGGCCUUCGGGUGCCGACGAGUGGCGAACGGGUGAGUAAUGUAUCGGAACGUACCUUUCAGUGGGGGAUAACGUAGCGAAAGUUACGCUAAUACCGCAUAUUCUGUGCGCAGGAAAGCAGGGGACCUUCGGGCCUUGCGCUGAUUGAGCGGCCGAUAUCAGAUUAGCUAGUUGGUGAGGUAAAGGCUCACCAAGGCAACGAUCUGUAGCGGGUCUGAGAGGAUGAUCCGCCACACUGGAACUGAGACACGGUCCAGACUCCUACGGGAGGCAGCAGUGGGGAAUUUUGGACAAUGGGGGCAACCCUGAUCCAGCCAUGCCGCGUGAGUGAAGAAGGCCUUCGGGUUGUAAAGCUCUUUCGGCCGGGAAGAAAUCGUAUCAGCUAAUACCUGGUGCGGAUGACGGUACCGGCAUAAGAAGCACCGGCUAACUACGUGCCAGCAGCCGCCGCCGUAA
rnacentral:rRNA from 1 species